CCUACGGGAGGCUGCCGUGGGGAAUAUUGGACAAUGGGGGGAACCCUGAUCCAGCCAUGCCGCGUGUGUGAAGAAGGCCCUCGGGUUGUAAAGCACUUUCAGUGAGGAAGAACGCCUGGUGGUUAAUACCCAUCAGGAAAGACAUCACUCACAGAAGAAGCACCGGCUAACUCCGUGCCAGCAGCCGCGGUAAUACGGAGGGUGCGAGCGUUAAUCGGAAUUACUGGGCGUAAAGCGCGCGUAGGUGGCUUGAUAAGCCGGUUGUGAAAGCCCCGGGCUCAACCUGGGAACGGCAUCCGGAACUGUCAAGCUAGAGUGCAGGAGAGGAAGGUAGAAUUCCCGGUGUAGCGGUGAAAUGCGUAGAGAUCGGGAGGAAUACCAGUGGCGAAGGCGGCCUUCUGGACUGACACUGACACUGAGGUGCGAAAGCGUGGGUAGCAAACAGGAUUAGAUACCCUGGUAGUC
rnacentral:rRNA from 1 species